UUUUUUGGUCUUUUUAGGGCUGCACCCAUGGCACAUGCAAGUUCUGAGGCUAGGGGUAAAUUCAGAGCUGUAGCUUUCGCUUAUGACACAGCCAUAGCAAUGCCAGAUCUGAACUGCAUCUGCAACCUAUGCUGCAGCUUGAGGCAAUGCUGGAUCCUUAACUCAGUGAGUGAGGCCAGGGAUCGAACUCACAUCCUCAUGGAUACUAGUUGAGGUCUUCACCUGCUGAGCCACAACAGGAACUCACAGAUUCUGAACUUCUGACAAGCUCCCAAGUGGUACAUGGCAGUACACAUACUUAUUGGAACUGAUAAACAAUGGAUGUGACAGAAGGCUCUGUGAAUUUUUUCAAAAUGAAACUAAUAUAUGAUUUUUUGAAUGUAUGUUUUUUUUCUGCUUCUUUUGACUAAUGGGAGAUGAUUUUUCAUGAUUUUAACUGUCAUGUGUCAAACUCUGGGCGAGGUGCUGGAAGGGGAGGGGGUAAGGGGUGAGAAAAUAAUAAUUACAGCCUCUGCCCCAGUCAGGCUCAGCUGAGUGGGGGGAGACAGGCACCUAGCUAGGUAUUUACAGCAUAAUAUGCCUCUAAUGGAAAUAUCUAUAAAAUGGAAUGCAGAACAGAGGAACUACCUGGAUGGAAUGCUGGCCUCUGAGUCCUAAUGAAAUACAUUCUUAUGUAGUCUAAAGUUUUAUGGAAAAAAACUGAGCGUGCAUGCCUAGGUAACUUUUCAGCAAGUUUUGGAAUUUAAACUAAUUCACUGCAAGGGCAGAAGGGAGUGAAUGAUCCAGGUUGUGGAAGUGGGAUUUGAACUCAUCUUUGUCUCACAUCUAAGUCCAGGCUUGUACUCCUGCAACAGACUGGGUCUUAAGAAAUUCUCAAUUUUUCAUAGGCUUGGCUUCAUUUCUAAGUAAGUAAUAGUAAUAAUAAUAAUAAUAAUAAUAAUAAUAAUAAUAAUAAUAAUUCGGCUGAAGCUAAUACUAAUACAGCUCCUUUAUCUGCCAGGCAUUCACUGUUCUAGGCAUUUUACAUAUAUUAACUCAUUUAACCUUCUUAGCAACCCUGUGAACUACUGUCUCCAUUUUAUGGCUGAGAAAAUAAGUAAAAGCUAGUGAAAUAAUUUCCUUACAGUCACACAGUAAAUACAUGGCAAAAUUAGGAUUUGAACCUGAGAAAUCUGGUCCUGGAGCCACUUUACUACUCAAAGAGCAGUGUAUUUAUCAGCAUCAUGGGCAUUCCUCAGGGCUUUGUUUGGAAUACAGACUCCCAGGCCCUGUCCUAGAUGUCUGGAUCCAGAAUCAACUUUUUUUUUUUUUUUGUCUUUUUUAGGGCCACACCGGGGUACAUGGAGGUUCCCAGGCUAGGGGGUCAAAUAGGAGCUGCAGCUGCCAGCCUACACCACAGCCACAGCAACACCAGAUCCGAGCCACGUCUGUGACCCAUACCACAGCUCACGGGCAACGCCAGAUCCUUAACUGACUGAGCAAGGCCAGGGAUCAAACCUGCACCUCAUGGUUCCUAGUCAGAUUUGUUUCUGCUGCACCACGAUGGGAAUUCCCAGAAUCACCAUGUUUAACAAGACUCCCAGUUGAUGUCACUGUCACUAAAGCUUGAGAUAUUACUACUCUAAACCACCAUAAUAUGCAGCAUCUGGGGGAGACCAACCCCUCCACCACCUUCCACUUUGGCCUGAACUCUCAUUCUGAAAGGUUCCUACAAUCCCCACCAUCACCUCAGACACCUGUGGCACCUCACCUGUCUCAGCUUCACCCCAUGACCUGAGUCAAAAGUAGGUUCUUUCUAUAACAGGUCUAUUAGCACCAAACAUUUCAACUUCUUCUUCUUCUUCUUCUUCUUUUUUUUCUUUUUCUUUUUAUGGCCUCACCUGCAGCAUAUGGAAGUUCCCAGGCAAGGGGUCUAAUCAGAGCUGCAGCUAUGGCAACAUUGUAUCUGAACCGCUUGAAACAACUCCAGAUCCUUAACCCAUGGAUUUGAUCUCUGGCCAGAUCUCAGGCCAGAGAUCAAACCCAUGUUCUCACAGACAACAUCGGGUCCUUAACCUGACGAGCCACAACGAGAACUCCUAUUUCAGCUUCUUUAGUGAGGAUCUGAGGGGACAUAGAGAGGAGUCACUUUACUACCUUACAAUCUUCUGUUACCUCCCUGGCCUUUUGUCCACUACUGUUCAUUCAUUCAUUCCCUCCUCCCACCUCUACCUCCAUAUCCAUCCCCAUAUCCAUUCCUAUGAUCCAUCUCCCCUCCAUCCCCAUGCACAUCUCCCAUCUCUGUCUCCAUCCCCAUCUCCUAUCUCUCAUCUUCACCUCCAUCCUCAUCCCUGUCUCCUUUCUCCAUCCC
rnacentral:lncRNA from 1 species